rnacentral:lncRNA from 1 species
UUACAUAUAGAAAAUUUAUUCUCUUUCAGCGAGCUUUGACAAAGUUGUGUGACCACAAUCUGGAUAUGGAAUAGUUCUGAAAGAAAGUAGUUCGAAUAGAACCCCAAAGAUGAUCUGUGCCUCUUUCUAGUUGUCCCUCCCCACUUUUUGUUUUUCAUCCUUGUAAUUGUGGAUUUUGUUUUAUUUAUAGUGCUAGGAAUGGAACUCGGGGAGUCACAGCAUAGGCAAGCUUUCUACCCUUGAGCUGCACCCCUACCCCAACCCUGUAAUUUUGUCUUUACCAGAAUGCGUGAUAAAUGGUGGCUCACACCUGUAAUUGUAGCUCCUUGGGAGGUGGAGGCUGGAGGAUAGCAAGUUCAAGGCCAGCCUAAGCAACUGAAAAGUACCUGUCUCAGAAAAGGGCUGGGGAUAUAGCUCAUUCUUAAAGUGCUUGCCUAACAUUCACAAGGCCCUGAGUUUGAUCCCCAGCACCAAGAAAACAAAACAAAAAAAAAACAUGGUUCCAUACUUGUUAAGCUGCUUUCUUUUAGAUUUCUGGCUCUAGCAUCUUCCUGUGAUGAUCCACUUAAACCAAUUAUUAGAAGGCAGCACUGAUUGCCUGUGUCUUUUAGAGAAGUAAAAGUUCAUGGAGGAAUUUUACUUCUGGACUGUCAAGAGUGGGUGUAGAGUCAGAGUGAUGUAGGUAAAGUUCCAUAAAGUAGAAGUGGCUGAAGGUGCUUAUCACUGUGGAAUACAAAAUUAUGAGCUAGAAGAUAAGUAAGUUGAAUGAUUCUAAGGAGAUAUUAUACUUUUUUUCAGUUCUAUUUUCAUAUAGUUAAUAUUGUAAUCAGGAUGGUUUUGACUGCAAAUUAAGUCAUUCUGGUUAGACAGAAUGGAUGGAUGGAAGACUAGAGGUUGAUUGAGUGGACAGUCAACUCAAAAACAGGUUCUUUCCAUCCUUUCUUUUCUGCCUUCCUUGAUGAUGUUGACUUUGAGGUGGUGUGGAAUAUUAGAAUCAUCUGGGGGAGGGAGCUUUUAAAAGACCCAGUGCCUGACCCCACACCCUGUACCAGUUGGAUCAAAAUCAGUGGAUGUGAGAUCCAGACAGUAGUUUUGGAAAUUCUGAGUGAUUCCUGGGGCAGCCAAGUUUGAGAUUCAGUGUUCCAAACUCUCCAGAGCUUUGCCUCUCCAAGUGUGGUCCAAAGACUUUGCUAGAGAAAACCCCACACCUCACUUCAGAGCUAUGAAUCUGCACUGAACUCUUUGCAGUAAUGUUGGACAACACUGCUUUAGAAUACUGGUUUUCAAAAUUGGCUGCAGAUGGGAAUCACUGGAUGGAUUUUUAAAGAUUUAAAUACUGAAGCAUAGGUCCAUCUCUAGAAAUUCUGAUUUGUGGGGGAGGGGGCGUCCUAAAGUAUUACCCGGGUCCAGGUUUGGCUACUGUAUCCCCAUAUAUACUUAGCAUGUUUAUUUGUUUGCUGUAAAUUGGUAAUUAGAUACAGCAGUUUGAUCAGGUUUGGAUAGUUUCUCCCUUCACCCCACUGAUUGCAGAGUGAUGGUCUGUGUUUCCAUCAGAAGGCACAUAAAAUCUGAGUAUCUCUCUCCUUAUGGUGUUGAUAAUUGCUAGUGAUCAUUAUUACUUAGCUACAUUUACUCAUUAGUUUAAAAUACCAUGGUAACUGCUGAAGCUGUAUCCUUUUGGUUACAGGAAAUAGAUAUCCAGAUUUUCUCCCAUUUAUUGCACUUACUUUGAGUGUGUUUCUCCUGAUUAUCUUUUUUUGUACCUAGGAAUGGGUUUCAUCUGUUCACUGUAUUCCAGUACCUGAAAUUGUGCCUGCUGGCACAUAAUAGCUGCUUUAAAAAUAAUUGAGUUUUAUGAAUGUCUUAAUCUAUAGAGCGUGGAGCAUUCGGGUAUCAGAAUGGAAUGAAAUGUUACCAAGCUUGGAAUUAUAAAAAUUAGAGCUGGUAGGAGGUAGAAACGGAAGAAAGACAUAUUGGGGAGCUGAUCUUGUUUUACGAAAGCAGUUCUGCCUUUAUCUAAAGAAAUGAGAAGGUCAAGUGAAUGCUUAACUCAUUUAGCUCCAAGGAAUUGGAAAGGGGAAUAAACC